ACUCCUACGGGAGGCAGCAGUAGGGAAUCUUCCGCAAUGGGCGAAAGCCUGACGGAGCAACGCCGCGUGAGUGAUGAAGGUCUUCGGAUCGUAAAACUCUGUUAUUAGGGAAGAACAAACGUGUAAGUAACUGUGCCAUCGUCUGACGUACCUAAUCAGAAAGCCACGGCUAACUACGUGCCAGCAGCCGCGGUAAUACGUAGGUGGCAAAGCGUUAUCCGGAAAUUAUUGGGCGUAAAGCGCGCGUAGGCGGUUUUUUAAGUCUGAUGUGAAAGCCCACGGCUCAACCGUGGAGGGUCAUUGGAAACUGGAAAAACUUGAGUGCAGAAAGAGGAAAAGUGGAAAUUCCAUGUGUAGCGGUGAAAUGCGCAGAGAUAUGGAGGAAACACCAGUGGCGAAGGCGACUUUCUGGUCUGUAACUGACGCUGAUGUGCGAAAAGCGUGGGGAUCAAAACAGGAUUAGAUACCCUGGUAGGCGUAGU
rnacentral:rRNA from 1 species